rnacentral:rRNA from 1 species
UUUUAUGAGAGUUUGAUCCUGGCUCAGGACGAACGCUGGCGGCGUGCCUAAUACAUGCAAGUCGAACGCUUCUUUUUCCACCGGAGCUUGCUCCACCGGAAAAAGAGGAGUGGCGAACGGGUGAGUAACACGUGGGUAACCUGCCCAUCAGAAGGGGAUAACACUUGGAAACAGGUGCUAAUACCGUAUAACAAUCGAAACCGCAUGGUUUUGAUUUGAAAGGCGCUUUCGGGUGUCGCUGAUGGAUGGACCCGCGGUGCAUUAGCUAGUUGGUGAGGUAACGGCUCACCAAGGCCACGAUGCAUAGCCGACCUGAGAGGGUGAUCGGCCACAUU